rnacentral:rRNA from 1 species
GAUGAACGCUGGCGCGUGCCUAAUACAUGCAAGUCGAGCGAACAGACGAGGAGCUUGCUCCUCUGACGUUAGCGGCGGACGGGUGAGUAACACGUGGAUAACCUACCUAUAAGACUGGGAUAACUUCGGGAAACCGGAGCUAAUACCGGAUAAUAUAUUGAACCGCAUGGUUCCAUCGUGAAAGACGGUUUUGCUUUCACUUAUAGAUGGAUCCGCGCCGCAUUAGCUAGUUGGUGAGGUAACGGCUUACCAAGGCGACGAUGCGUAGCCGACCUGAGAGGGUGAUCGGCCACACUGGAACUGAGACACGGUCCAGACUCCUACGGGAGGCAGCAGUAGGGAAUCUUCCGCAAUGGGCGAAAGCCUGACGGAGCAACGCCGCGUGAGUGAUGAAGGUCUUCGGAUCGUAAAACUCUGUUAUUAGGGAAGAACAAAUGUGUAAGUAACUAUGCACGUCUUGACGGUACCUAAUCAGAAAGCCACGGCUAACUACGUG